rnacentral:lncRNA from 1 species
CGGGGAGAGGGCAGUGGCAAGGGAGCACCUGCACAGGGCACCAGGCCUCUCCAGGGAUGUGGACAUGGGGGCUGGACUCCCAGCUGCAGACCUGCUGUGGGGUGCCUCUGAUCAGGACUUCGGGGUGCCUCUGAGCAGGACUUCUUCUGAAGCAAGACUAACGGGAGCCUGGAGGCGACGGGAGAAGCCUGUUCAGAGUCCCCGGGAUGAAGCGGGCCCCUAGUGAGCGGGACCUGCUGGCUAGCUGGGACCCCCCAUUCUCUCUGUGUCAAAUGGGCAUGCUUGCUCUUCCCUCUUGAAGUAUGGUGAGGAUUAAAUAAUGGAGAAGGUGUAGACAGC